rnacentral:lncRNA from 1 species
CGCGCACCUGCACCUGCACCUGCACCUGCACCGAGGGGACACCGUGGGGGCACCGCGCGCACGCACCUGCACCGCGCGCCCGGGUUCAGGACUUGAUGCAAUCCGGAUCAAACGUGGCUGAGCGCGUGUGGACACGGGACUGACGCAACACACGUGUAACUGUCUGUCAGCCGGGCCCUGAGUAAUCACUUAAAGAUGUUCCUGCGGGGUUGUUGCUGUUGAUGUUUUUGGUUUUUUGUUUUGUUUUGUUUUUUCCUUUUUGGUCUUAUUAUUUUUUUGUAUUAUAAAAAAGUUCUAUUUCUAUGAGAAAAGAGGCGUAUGUAUAUUUUGAGAACCUUUUCCGUUUCGAGCAUUAAAGUGAAGACAUUUUAAUAAACUUUUUUGGAGAAUGUUUAAAAGCCUUUUGGGGGCAGUAGUUGGCUUUUGAAAAAUUUUUUUUUCUUCCCUUCUGACUUUGGAUUUAUGCGAGAUUUUGUUUUUGUGUUUCUGGUGUGUAGGGGGCUGCGGUUAUUUUUGGGUUGUGUGUGGUGGUGGGUGGGGGUGUCGCAUCUGGGUUUUUCUCUUCCCCUGGCAGAUGGGGUGCCAGCCCCUCCCCCAGGAGAGGGAGCAGAGUGCUGGGUCAGGAAAUCAGGGUGACUCAGCACCCAUGGGUGCUGGGGACCUUGCUGGAAACCCUGCUUGGGACAGGGUUGGUUCUGGGUGUCAGGCUUGUGUUGGGGACCAGGCAGGCAGUGACUCUGUAGGAGGGGCUGGUCCAGACAGCCCCAGACAGGGCAGGUGCUUUGGAUCUCCUGCCCCAGAGACCUACUCAGUCCCAGGAGAGUGGUGGUCACUGGACCCUGGAUCCAACCUCUUUGGGGAGGACAGACAGCAGAGGCUCGGCUCCAGAUGCUGCCAUGUGACCAUUUAUGUCCUCCAGUAUCCGUGGCAUCCCUGGGACUCUCCACAUUGCUGUCUUUUUCCUCAGCAAGUGCCGUCUUGCCUUACAGGUGUGCAAGAAGAAAGCCUUUGUCUGACCCCUUUGAAGGCUCUGGAGGACCAGUAGCAGGCAGAGGGCAGCGGGCAAUGCCUGCAGGUGCCAGUGUCCCAUCGUUCAUAUUCCUGGAGGGCGAGUGUUGGAUGCUUUCCAUUUGACACAUGGGAGCUGUAAGAACAGAGAGGCCAAGUGGCUUACCUAAGCCACAGAGUAGCAAAUGGCUGGACUAGGGUCAAGUGGCCCUGAGGUCUUAGCAAUGGGUCACUCUCCAGCAGGAAUGCACUGUGCACAUUUUGAAGAUGGAAAACAAGGCUCCCAGAGGUGAGGCAUGAUGGACCUCGUGGAACUGGACACAGGAAAUGCACAGGGCUGACUACUGUCACCCAGGCCAGGCCCCUGCAGGAGGUGUGGGAGACCCCCCUGUGCCUGUGACCUAUGCCCCAGCCUCUGUGUUUACCCACCCUGAGACCCAGGAUGCUCUUCCGCCUGCCCGGGAGUCUCAGGCCCUUCACAAUAGCAUCUCUGUCUACUGGUUUUCAUUCAAGCCCUUGGUGCUAAAAAGAAAAAAAAAAUUAAAGAAAAGAAAACUUAGCCCCGCCCCUCCCUUUCCUUCUCGCUGAGGGGGAGCAUCCAUCCAGCUGCUGUCUUCCCUCUGCUGAGGCCCAGAGACUGCCACACCCUGCCCACUGCCACACAGAGUCACUCUGCACGUGGAAGGGAGACCCUGCCUUGGCUUCCACCCAGGCCCACAAUGGCUGCUCCUGGCUUGG